rnacentral:ncRNA from 1 species
UUAAACUUUAAUUUUAAUUUUAAAAGUUAAACUAAUUUAUACUUAUAUAUAAAAUUUAUUAAAUAAUUUAUAAUUAAUAUAUAAAAUUAAUAUUAAAUUUAAAUUUAUAUUAAAUAAAAUUUAAAUAUUUUUAAAAAUUGUGCCAGCAAUUGCGGUUAUACAAUUAAUAUAAUUAACUUUAAACAAUUUAAUUAAAUUAAAAAUUUUAUUAAAUAAAACUAAUAUUUUAAGAUUAAAUUAAAAUAUUUAAAAUAUUUAAAAUUAUAAAAUAAUAUUUAAAAAUUUUUUAAAAAACUAGGAUUAGAUACCCUAUUAUUUAAACAAUUAUAAUAAUUAAAAUAUUAAAUGAUAAAACAUUAAAUUUAAAAAAUUUGACGGUAUUUAAAAUCUAGAGGAAUUUAUUUAAUAAUAGAUAAUACACUAAAAAAUAAACUUAAUUCAAUUAUUCUUAUAUACUUCUGUAUAGAUUAAAUUUUAAAAUUUUAAACUAAAAUUUUUAAAAAAACAAUUCAAGUCAAAGUAUAGAUUUAAUUAAGAUUAAACGAAUUACAUUAUAUUUAUAUUUAUAUAUUAAAUUUUUAAUAAAUUAUAUAAUUAGAAUUUAGAAAUAAAUUAAAAAAAUUAUUUUAAUUGAACAUAUAUUUUAAAUAUGUACAUAUCGCCCGUCAUUCUUUUCUAAGACAAGUCGUAACAAAGUAAAAAUACUGGAAAGUGUUUUUAGAAAAUU